UUUUUUUUUUUUUUUUUUUUUUUUUUUUUUUUUUUUUUUUAAACUUAAUUCGUUUACUGUAUCAAGAACGGAUA
rnacentral:ribozyme from 13 species